GGCGGCGUGCCUAAUACAUGCAAGUCGAACGAGUUCUCGUUGAUGAUCGGUGCUUGCACCGAGAUUCAACAUGGAACGAGUGGCGGACGGGUGAGUAACACGUGGGUAACCUGCCCUUAAGUGGGGGAUAACAUUUGGAAACAGAUGCUAAUACCGCAUAGAUCCAAGAACCGCAUGGUUCUUGGCUGAAAGAUGGCGUAAGCUAUCGCUUUUGGAUGGACCCGCGGCGUAUUAGCUAGUUGGUGAGGUAAUGGCUCACCAAGGCGAUGAUACGUAGCCGAACUGAGAGGUUGAUCGGCCACAUUGGGACUGAGACACGGCCCAAACUCCUACGGGAGGCAGCAGUAGGGAAUCUUCCACAAUGGACGCAAGUCUGAUGGAGCAACGCCGCGUGAGUGAAGAAGGCUUUCGGGUCGUAAAACUCUGUUGUUGGAGAAGAAUGGUCGGCAGAGUAACUGUUGUCGGCGUGACGGUAUCCAACCAGAAAGCCACGGCUAACUACGUGCCAGCAGCCGCGGUAAUACGUAGGUGGCAAGCGUUAUCCGGAUUUAUUGGGCGUAAAGCGAGCGCAGGCGGUUUUUUAAGUCUGAUGUGAAAGCCCUCGGCUUAACCGAGGAAGCGCAUCGGAAACUGGGAAACUUGAGUGCAGAAGAGGACAGUGGAACUCCAUGUGUAGCGGUGAAAUGCGUAGAUAUAUGGAAGAACACCAGUGGCGAAGGCGGCUGUCUGGUCUGUAACUGACGCUGAGGCUCGAAAGCAUGGGUAGCGAACAGGAUUAGAUACCCUGGUAGUCCAUGCCGUAAACGAUGAAUGCUAGGUGUUGGAGGGUUUCCGCCCUUCAGUGCCGCAGCUAACGCAUUAAGCAUUCCGCCUGGGGAGUACGACCGCAAGGUUGAAACUCAAAGGAAUUGACGGGGGCCCGCACAAGCGGUGGAGCAUGUGGUUUAAUUCGAAGCAACGCGAAGAACCUUACCAGGUCUUGACAUCUUUUGAUCACCUGAGAGAUCAGGUUUCCCCUUCGGGGGCAAAAUGACAGGUGGUGCAUGGUUGUCGUCAGCUCGUGUCGUGAGAUGUUGGGUUAAGUCCCGCAACGAGCGCAACCCUUAUGACUAGUUGCCAGCAUUUAGUUGGGCACUCUAGUAAGACUGCCGGUGACAAACCGGAGGAAGGUGGGGAUGACGUCAAAUCAUCAUGCCCCUUAUGACCUGGGCUACACACGUGCUACAAUGGAUGGUACAACGAGUUGCGAGACCGCGAGGUCAAGCUAAUCUCUUAAAGCCAUUCUCAGUUCGGACUGUAGGCUGCAACUCGCCUACACGAAGUCGGAAUCGCUAGUAAUCGCGGAUCAGCACGCCGCGGUGAAUACGUUCCCGGGCCUUGUACACACCGCCCGUCACACCAUGAGAGUUUGUAACACCCGAAGCCGGUGGCGUAACCCUUUUAGGGAGCGAGCCGUCUAAGGUGGGACAAAUGA
rnacentral:rRNA from 2 species